rnacentral:rRNA from 1 species
GCGACAGGCUUAACACAUGCAAGUCGAGGGGCAGCACAGGUAGCAAUACCGGGUGGCGACCGGCGCACGGGUGAGUAACGCGUAUGCAACUUACCUAUCAGAGGGGGAUAACCCGGCGAAAGUCGGACUAAUACCGCAUGAAGCAGGGGCCCCGCAUGGGGAUAUUUGCUAAAGAUUCAUCGCUGAUAGAUAGGCAUGCGUUCCAUUAGGCAGUUGGCGGGGUAACGGCCCACCAAACCGACGAUGGAUAGGGGUUCUGAGAGGAAGGUCCCCCACAUUGGUACUGAGACACGGACCAAACUCCUACGGGAGGCAGCAGUGAGGAAUAUUGGUCAAUGGCCGAGAGGCUGAACCAGCCAAGUCGCGUGAGGGAUGAAGGUUCUAUGGAUCGUAAACCUCUUUUAUAAGGGAAUAAAGUGCGGGACGUGUCCCGUUUUGUAUGUACCUUAUGAAUAAGGAUCGGCUAACUCCGUGCCAGCAGCCGCGGUAAUACGGAGGAUCCGAGCGUUAUCCGGAUUUAUUGGGUUUAAAGGGUGCGUAGGCGGCCUUUUAAGUCAGCGGUGAAAGUCUGUGGCUCAACCAUAGAAUUGCCGUUGAAACUGGGGGGCUUGAGUAUGUUUGAGGCAGGCGGAAUGCGUGGUGUAGCGGUGAAAUGCAUAGAUAUCACGCAGAACCCCGAUUGCGAAGGCAGCCUGCCAAGCCAUUACUGACGCUGAUGCACGAAAGCGUGGGGAUCAAACAGGAUUAGAUACCCUGGUAGUCCACGCAGUAAACGAUGAUCACUAGCUGUUUGCGAUACACUGUAAGCGGCACAGCGAAAGCGUUAAGUGAUCCACCUGGGGAGUACGCCGGCAACGAUGAAACUCAAAGGAAUUGACGGGGGCCCGCACAAGCGGAGGAACAUGUGGUUUAAUUCGAUGAUACGCGAGGAACCUUACCCGGGUUUGAACGCAUUCGGACCGAGGUGGAAACACCUUUUCUAGCAAUAGCCGUUUGCGAGGUGCUGCAUGGUUGUCGUCAGCUCGUGCCGUGAGGUGUCGGCUUAAGUGCCAUAACGAGCGCAACCCUUGCCACUAGUUACUAACAGGUAAAGCUGAGGACUCUGGUGGGACUGCCAGCGUAAGCUGCGAGGAAGGCGGGGAUGACGUCAAAUCAGCACGGCCCUUACAUCCGGGGCGACACACGUGUUACAAUGGCGUGGACAAAGGGAAGCCACCUGGCGACAGGGAGCGAAUCCCCAAACCACGUCUCAGUUCGGAUCGGAGUCUGCAACCCGACUCCGUGAAGCUGGAUUCGCUAGUAAUCGCGCAUCAGCCAUGGCGCGGUGAAUACGUUCCCGGGCCUUGUACACACCGCCCGUCAAGCCAUGGGAGCCGGGGGUACCUGAAGUCCGUAACCGCGAGGAUCGGCCUAGGGUAAAACUGGUGACUGG